rnacentral:rRNA from 1 species
AGGACGAACGCUGGCGGCGUGCUUAACACAUGCAAGUCGAGCGGUGAUCCUCCUUCGGGAGGUGAUCAGCGGCGAACGGGUGAGUAACACGUGAGUAAUCUGCCCCUAGCUCUGGGAUAGCUCCGGGAAACCGGGAUUAAUACCAGAUACGACCACUUUAGACAUCUGCUGUGGUGGAAAGAAUUUCGGCUAGGGAUGAGCUCGCGGCCUAUCAGCUUGUUGGUGAGGUAACGGCUCACCAAGGCGACGACGGGUAGCCGGCCUGAGAGGGCGACCGGCCACACUGGGACUGAGACACGGCCCAGACUCCUACGGGAGGCAGCAGUGGGGGAAUAUUGCGCAAUGGGCGAAAGCCUGACGCAGCGACGCCGCGUGGGGGAUGAAGGCCUUCGGGUUGUAACCCUUUCAGCAGGGACGAAGCGAAAGUGACGGUACCUGCAGAAGAAGCGCCGGCUAACUACGUGCCAGCAGCCGCGGU